rnacentral:lncRNA from 1 species
ACGCAGAGUGGCCAUUACUGCCGUGUUUUGACCACGUCUCCCGUCGUAGCUGAAUUCAAUGUCCCGUACAUGUCACUGUCGGUGUGCGUAUCGGAAAAAAAAAAGAGAAACAAGAAGUGGCGAAGAUCAAAAGAAAAAAAAAAAUAGUAUCGUAAGAUAUAUACAUACAUAUAUAUUAUAUAUAUUUACAUAUAGAUUACAUCUCAUUGUUUUACGUGGCCCAUUGUCAGUCUUCUCAUCCGUAUCACAGUGCACUUAGUAUCCUUGUUUUUUUCUUUCUUUCUUUCUUUUCUGCUUUUUUUAAAAUCCCUACCUUAUUCUUUGUAGGAGACAAUUCUCAAGAGAUUUAGUCAUUCUAACAGCGGUUUGUUUUUUUUUGAGUAAAUACAAGUCUCAGAUCUCUCGCGUGGCUUACUUGUGGCAAUGAAAUCGGGCCCACUCCAUGGCUAGGUUAUAGUGCAUUGUCCUGCUUUCACUCUUUCUUCUGUAUAGUUUUUUCGCGCCUUUUCAGGUGUGAAUCCGAACCAACUCUCCCAACUUUCCGUUGCGUUGUAAAGAAGUCGGGCUCGUUACUUUGUUGAAAUCUUCAAUUCUUCACUUUUCGUUGGUGAGCUAAGGGUAACAUCUAAAACCUAGAUAUUUGGUGGUGUUUUUCUGUUUGUUUCUUUUUCUUCGCAGUAUCUAGCCCAGGCGCAAAGACAGAGCUAGUGAAAUAGCGUGUGGAAGUUUGAGUAAGCACAAUAGCGUAGUCUUUUAACAUAGUUUUUCGCUAGAGACAUCAUGAUCGCCCAGACGUAGCCAUUGGCUGCGAAUAGCAUUACUUCCCGAUCUGUGCUACACGCAAAGGUUGUCGAGCAUCGCUCACCUCAUCAGCAUUGUCUCCUACAUGGUUCUUUUUUUUUUAUUCUGUCUUUACAACAGCUUUUCCUUCGACAUUCAUAUUAAGUUUCCUUGGCCUUCUCUACACCAUCUCUUCUAAUGUUUAUUUCGCUUUUAAAUUUGGUUUCCAUUCACUUCUCUAUGUGAGUGCUUACUGAUGUCGUCAUCACGCGAGAAACUCGUUCCACGUAAUCACAGCUGUCCGUGCAAUAUGGGAAAUGCGUAAUUCUGUCACGUGCUAUCCUCCCCCCUAAAUAAUCCAGCGGCACUUCUUUGGACUGUGAGUGGUCCCGGUGUGCUAGGACAUAAGUUGAACGACCUGCACGAUUCUGACUUGUUGUACGAAACGAAAUUGACUCGCGGGGGAGAUUUGCGAAAUUUGUUGGAGAUCGAGUGUAAACAGUUGGGAGGAAGCAUUCACAAAACGCAGAUGGGAGGUAAAAGUUUGUACCCGGCAACCAGCGCUGUUACACCUCGAAGAACCUCGGAAUGGCGAAAUGCGAAAUUAGUUUUCCUUCAUAGAGCAUAAUUUUGCGACUCGAUUUGGCAUAUCUUUCGUACAAAAAGCAAAACAUAUUGCAGGACAGAAUGCAAGCAAGAUUUCACAUUUCGAAUUUGCCACCUGAGCUGCAGUGCUGACAUCACUGCGAUGUCGCUUGUUUUAACAUAUUUUCACACAAAUGCAGCUUACGUGCUAAAAUAAAGCUUGAAAAAUGCUUCCAGGUUGAAUUGUUGCUUGCUUUCAUAGGCUGCGUGAUCCUCUUAAUUGAUUCAUCGGGAGCAAAAGAUGCCUGCAGAAUUCACGAGGAAGCUUAUACACUGAUUUCAAUGCGGUGUCGCCAUCCAUGUGUCUUUCCAACGCUUGCCACAGCUUUGCUCAUAUUGAUACUAGACUAUUUAGUAUUCUAGAAAUGUAGCAAUGAAGCCAGCUUAAUGUAAGAAUUGAUGUCCAUUUGAACAAGAUUAGUUAUUAACACAAGGAAAUCCUUCAUGUGCUGCUAGGGCAAACAAAAAAUAAAUCGCAUUACUUUUCAUUCACAUUCACCUCAUUCAGCAGCGGACAUUUCUUCAAAGGCAUUUACUAUGAAAGACAAAAAAUUAGAAUUUUUAGUGAUGGAGAAGUCUGCCCUUUGCUUCUUCAUAUUAAUAGUGAGUCACAGACUUUAAUGCGAGCACCGACUCUUGCUGCUCUGCUGCUAUGUUUGUGCAUAAAGAGCUAAUCAUUCAAAGAGCUUCUGUACUGGAAGCCUCGCAAAUGUACUUUAAAGGUGUGCUAUCAAGAUGUACAGUAUGUAAAACCCAGACCAAUGUGCACCAUUUAGGCCUGCACUACCGUAGUAUGAAUCAUUGCCAUGGCACCACUGUGCUUCCAAAUGUUCUCGUACGUAUACAGGUGUAUAAUCAUUCACUUGGCGUAUACACUCUCGGUCGUUUGAUUUAGGAGUUACACGGAGAUUGAGCUAGUGCUUUCAUCACUCUCUAUGAUAAACAUUUCUGUACAACUGAAAUUUAACGCUUUAACCACCAAGUUUCUUUUGUGAAACGCUGCAGUAUAUCGUUCCUUGUUAUUUAUACUACCAGAUGAUUGCAUGUUACAUCUGAAUUCAAUAUCACAUAUGUUACUUAUCUUUCAUAUUGGCCCAAAAUAUUUAUAAAAGACUCUGCUCCGGAAAGUGUUCCCCUCUGCGUGCAUAUAAAAUUCAAACGUAAUUAACUGAGCAGACGAUAAUGAAAGGAAUCAAAAGCACCAAGGAACAUUUUUCAGGCAGCAAAACUCAAAUGCACGACGCAAACUGUUUUGGACUCCGGCAGGCAAAGUUUAAGCUUGCAGCUUGAACAAAUAUGGCUCAUCUUUGGCAACAUUGGUACAUAGUUAGGACUUCUACAGCUCGGUCUUGGCGUUUGAAGGGUCAAACACUUUACCCACACUAAAAGCCCACUUUAAAAGAGGAAUGCUUGCCAUAUUAUGCAUUUAUUUGACUUCGGAUAUGAGUUAGUCAUUGUUGAACGUAUACAGUGCAAGUGACAGUUGGAAGCUUCAUUGCAACAUUUCAUAUCUACUGGUACAUUCUUAUAGGGCCACAUUUCUUAGUAUGCCAGGUUGGUUGCUCAUUGGUUACUCACACUCGCAACCACUUGCCCAGUAUAUAGCGAAAGGUGUAACAGCGCUGUCCGCCGAAAAAUAGCCGGAGAGAUUUGCUCCAAGACUUCAUUCCCCCUGAAACGAAACCGGUGAGACUUCAAAAUGCAUAAUGAGCCACGUAGUGAGAUCACCGUUUGCAGUACAUCAGUUUUUCAUGGCAGGUCUGCCAUAACGCAUGGAACAACAGCUGACUUUGACUUGUGUGGACUUUUCUCCGAGACCAUUGCGGCACAUUAUGAACACGCGUCACGUGGUUUGUGUAGUCGUGCGUGCUCCCGUGAUGUUUUGUCUGUGUGUGAUGCGGAGGGGAGGAGGAGACGUCUUUUGACGAUGACGAUGAUGAUGAAAUGGUUUAGUUGUGCUAUUCCGCCGGGCGCGCGGUGGCUUAGCACAGCAAAGCUGUCAUCUUCUCAAUAUCUUCCUUCCCUUCCGUGUCUUCAGUGUACCGUAUGUUUUUUCCCCCUUUCGACGAUUCCCGAUUGUCGGCUGAGGCUACGUGAGAGAAGCAGUACAAAGUUUGAGGGAACAGUCUUGGCACUGUUCUGAAAGUUGUUUUCGUUUGUUUCCGCAAUCGCUCCUCUUCAUGUGCGCACUACGGAAGCACGUAGCACGUGGAACUCUCCAGCUGGGCUGCGACGGAGAAAAAAAAUUGUAACGCAAACUACGCUCACAGAAGACCGUGAGCCGAGGAUGCAAAGUGUAGAAAACACGCACGAGCUUAUACUGAUGUGUGUCCUCUCGGUUAAUUUCAAGCGAAGUCGUCUACUGCGCUGCCUGUCGGAUGAUCCAGUCGCGCCUCACAGCUGCCCGCAGCUGCGUCAGCUCCCGGAGAUAAAAACGUGCACGUUGCUCACCGAGUGUGCGCAUGAAAGCAACUUUCAACCUAUAGAUGGAAAUAUAUAUAUUUUUUUUUUUGCUCACUCUCUCUCUCUUGAAAUGAGUGUUUUUGUUGUGAAGGGACGAACUUUCAAUGGGUCUGCGCGUUACGGUCGGUGCAUCGCAGAGCCAUCCUCCUCGAUUGUCAUCAGCUAAUGGGUCCUCCCCGACAGGCGGCGCCCGACGUUUCACUUUUACCACCAGCGACUUCGAUUGAACACGACGUGCGAAUGUUUUCUAUGCUAGCUGCGCAGGCUCUGCGUGCCCACCAAUUUCCAGGCACAUUUUUUUUUUGUGACGCACCAUCGCAGACUCAUUGAAAAUUCUAUCCUGUCUUGUCCCGUGCUGUUUAUCCCUACUGCACUGUUCUUAUUCUCUUGUGUAACUGAGCACUUUCCUUUUUCCUUCUUGGAAAUAUUGUCACGGUGCUCUUUUUUUUUUGUAAUCUUUUCAUUUUGCUCGCUCGUUGGUGUACGUGCAGCAUUGUGCUGCACUCAUAACGUCGCACGAUUCCUCCCCUUUAUUUUCUCUCGUGUGACUCGAUGAAGCGGCAGAAGGUGAUGUUGCAAUUAUUUUGCUUGUGGGGUCAUUCUGGUGUUUGUGCAGCAUUUUGUCAAAGGGCAUAUUGUACCGAUUAACUGGCCCGUUGCAGGGCAAUGUGGGUUUGUUUGUCGAACGGGCGGGCCAUACGUCACUGGUUUAACCGGGCAUGCUUUGCCGUCGUUUAGGCGUCCCAAGGGAGGGAGGUAGUUAGGCAGGUGGCGGAACGACACCGUCGCUGGCGUAAUUCACCUUUUUUUUUUGUUUUUUAUAAACCAGCAUUCUUUGUUUUUUAAGGAAAUGUAUUCCCUCCCUUUUUCCCUUUCCCGAAGUCAAGAAGAACCUGUGAGAAAAAGGAGAGGCACAAGAUUAAAAUAAGAGCUGCGCGCAGCAGGUGACCGUUGGCGAGUCAACGAAAUGCAAUACCCGCCCUAUCUUGUGAUGGGCGGCCCGCAGUCAUACGCAUGUGUUCGAGCAGUGAUGUGUGGUGUGCGCUUGCCGGUGAAGAGAGCAGCGCGCUUGGAGACAUUUUUUUUUUUUCUGUCGGACGCAAUUUCAGCUGGCUUGCGCUGCUGCUCCGUACAACGGAAGACGAUCGUCUCGACAACCUGAAGCAAGUGGACGGUGGUGUCAGUGAGUGCCGCAGUGGUGGCACGUGGGGACUCGUUUGGGCUGCCAUGUGGGGGUCGGCACGAGGUGGAACUCUCUCUUUCCCUCGUGCCAGUGACGUGCUGCCCUCGUUCGUCCAGCGAGGAGUGCGAGGGCGCUGGAUUAUUUGCAUACGUAUGCGGGACGUGGCGGUCUGGCGACUGUGCAACGCAGAUAUGGGGCGGGGAAACAUGGAAGGAGAAGAAGAGGAGCUACAAGAUUAUGUGUGUGAACUGUGAGUUCGCGCUGCCACAAAGCAUUGUGUCAAGAGUGUUCGUUCGCUGUCUUUCAUAUACAACACGUGGUUUUCUUUCUUCCCCCUAUUAUUACCUCUUACGUUGACACGGUUGUUGGGUGGCUGUCCUAGUAAGACUAGGCUUCCUCCAUCGGUUUCUUUACCCGCUCUCUCUCUCUUUAAAAAGACUUUUCUUGCUGUGACAGUCUUUUUUUCUCUUUCUGAAGGUGUGUCGUCCGUCAAGAAAUGUGUGUGUCAUGGGGACUGCUGCAUUAGCAGCGCACGUUGCCCGUUUGUCCGGCCCGGUGGUCUUCUCAAAGAAGGAAAACGAAACAAAAAACGAUAAAGUGUACUGUCAGUAGUUGUUCUCGUAGAAGCCGUCGUCGUCUGCGGAGUAAUAAUGUUGCGCAGUCGCCACCGAGUUGGAUAUCGGUUCGUUCUUCCGCACCCUUUUUUCGUUCUUCUCGAGGAAGAAACGUUGAGGACGGGAAAAAGAAACCCCUUGCACUAAUUGUCACUGUAGUGCCUACUGGCUUCCCCUAGAGCAGAUUCUGCUUCGUUUCCAGUUAACGAGUUGCUGGGGGUAACGGACGUGUUUGUUGGUUUCUUUCUUUAAGGGACACUAAAGUGAAACAAUGAAUCAGUUUAGAUCGAUAAAUUGCACUCUGGGAACGCUAAUGUCAUUAAUUCCGUAUUAUAGGCUUAUUAAUAGCAGAAAAUAUCAAUUUGUUUUUAAAUUCCGCACCGAAAUCUCCACGCGUGACAUCACGGGUUUCAAAGUGUAUGUUCCGUAUUUAUUUGACAUUGACUCAACGAAAUUUCCCGAAACUUGGUAUGUAAAUCUGUGGCGCCCUCAGAGAACAAUGUACUUCGUUUUUUAGAAACUAUGUAGGACCUAGUGGAUGCCAUCAAAACCUAUGACGUCAUGACGUUUGGUGCGGGAAUUGCAAGGUGGCUUCGCCACCCACAUUUUCUUUUUGCAUGUUUUCUCACUUCAUAAGCGCCUUCUCAUGGCAUUGUAAUUGUGAAAGAGUAAUUUACUAAUAUAAGAAAAAUCGUUUUUCUCUUUAGUGUCCCUUUUACACUGCCGGCUUUUUUUUUUUUUUUUGUUAUUCACCAGCAUUGGAGACGUAUGGAUACUCAAGUCGUUUGACUUUCUCGGAGCAUUUAGUAGAAUUACAACUGAUCUUCGCUUUGACUGUGCUCAGUCGUACGCGAGCUCGUAGCUUACUUUUAUCGAAAUUAUCUCGAUUUGUUUCCCUUCCUUUUCAUUUUUCCGUGUCCCCCUCCUCCUUUUGCAGGCUUUUUGUGUCUCUCUAUGUUUUUCUUUUUGCACGUGCUUUCUUGUUCUGGUUUUCCACCAUGUGAUGCGCAGUGACGACACUAAAGAAACUUUUUCUUCUUUUAUCCUAAGUUUGAAACGUUUUAAAGAAAGAGUAAGAGCAAAGCAACAAGGGUUGGCCCUCUGUUUUCUUCUUGGUUCGGCAGUUCCUAUCGAGCCAGAUUCUGUGAUAGCCGCAGCAGCCCUGCAGAGUGUUUCCCCCCCCCCCUCACGUUUCAGUCAGUGAUGUACAAGAUAGUAUUCGCUAAAAGCAGUGAGGUGCCGGGCCUCACUGGCCAUUGUGUUCUGUAAAAGAUAAUACAAACGAAAAGGGGCUGCUCGCGAUUCAUUCCAGCAAAGCUGCUUCCUUCCUCAAUUUCCCCUCUUCCGUAGAGAGGAAACCCCCCCCCUUAUUUUUGUCACUCACCACUCAGUCAAUUAUUGCGAGUGGUGACUGCUGGUUUGUUUUUUUUUUUUUUUUUUCUGACGUCUUUUCGGAUGACACUAUGCAGGGUAAAAGUGGUAGAAAGGUGCGUCUCGAAGGAGGAGAGACUUUGCAAUCUAGUCUUGUGACGAUGCGUUGAUUCUCCGACUGGUCCCUCGCGGAUCACCCCUCUUCUUUGUCUCCCAAACAUUUUUUUUUUUUGCUUUUUACUCCACCACAUAUUUUUUUUCUUCCCCUUGGGCAGUCACUCGCCCAUUUUUGAUCUCUUACGUUUUCGUAUUUACUUGUGGUGGCCGACUGGACAAGUCUGCAGACGACAUGAACACUGAUGCAUUUUUGUCUUGUCUGAGCCUGUUGUGCUGAGCGUGGAUAGAAUGUGUGAAAAGUGUGCUAAAAAAUACGAGUGUUUUACCGCGCAUCUAUUGUACUCGUUGCUUUGGUCAACGAUUUCUCAUUUGCUUUACUCUUUUCUCUAUAUAUUUUAACGGUAGCUCACACUGCUUAGGCAAUGGCAAAACUUUUUAUUAUUAUUUAGGUAGCUCCCACUAGCUCAUUAGCCGUCCCGACAUCGAUCAAUGUGCCAAGAAAGAAGUAAAUCAGCUAGUUAGUACUGCGAAGGGAGGCCGACCUCGUGUGGAGCUAGCUUAAACUUGCAAAAUUCUUUGCUGAAACUGUGCUUUACAUAGGCAAUUUUUUUUUUUUCGUUUGUGGGUUUAGUGAACGAAAAUCACGGAUGAACGUUUUGGCCAUAGUCACGCCAAUACUUUCAGCUGCAGCUGGUCAAAUGGAAAGUUUUUAGUAAUACCGGACGUAGUGGACACAAGGUUAGCAUACGCUGUUCACUAAACAGACAUCCCCUCCCAAGUCAAGCUGGGGCCUGGCAGUUAUACAGUGUGGCUAAGCACUGUUUUUAAGCUAUGCUAAAGUUAGCAUAUGCAAACUGCCUAUGUCCUCUGUUUCAUUGGGCUGACGUGUCGGAUAGAUGGAAAUGCAAGCGCAUAAAAAGGCAUACCUCACGUUCCUCCAAUCUGUAGUGCAUGUGGUGCGCGUUUUUACAUUCUUGUUUCUCUGUACACUCCUCACGACCGCUCAAAGAACGUUCAACCAGCUAAUCCGUGCGCUUUAAACCCACAGCUUGAAAACUCUCUUAUCAUUCCUUUCACAAAUAUAGUCCUUCUGAAUCUAUUUCUCUUUUGUUUCGCUUAGUUUUUUCCUAAACGCUCGUCUUGCUCGUGGAAUGAAUCCCACCGGAUAAAAAAAAAUGAGAGGUAUGGUUGUUUGUAAAGAUGCUUGUAUUUUUACUAGAGUGCCCUUAGGCAUGUUGGUUAGAGGCUUAGGUGACAUAUUGCAACCCUUGUCUCGCGCCGAGUGUAUGUUUAUGUAGCAGACAGUAGAUGGCGAGGAGGACGCGUAACAAAUAAAAAAAACAGCCACUUCGAGUGUAACGAGUGGAAAGUAUGCGCACGAUGCAGCAGACGGCUCAUCGUUUGAGCCUUGCAGCAUCUGCCUCCUAUGGCCCAACAGUGUGUAUGUGUGCGUGUCUGUAUGUGUGGGAAAUAUGCAAUGCUACUGUCAGAAACAAAAAAAACAAAACAGGCAGGUGUUUUCGGAUGGCCCGCCACCAAGCAAGAAGAAGACUGUGAUGAAACAAAAAAAAAA